UCCUUGACUGGGGGCGCUAGGUCCUCCUGGCUGCGCCUGGGGCUAGAAAACUGCGCCGGUGCUUCAAUUUUUUUGUCUCCGCGAGGGCUGGCUGAGUCCCUGUGGUCCUCUGGACACCGCCUCUAGCUUGGGCCCGGGGUCCACGCCCUGGCAUGACGGAUGGCUGCACGCCCUCGCCCGGCUUCCAGGGCCCGGUCUUCUGGGCUGUGUCCGGAUCCCAACCAGGCUGGCGUGUCAGCUUGUCUCAAGACUACAUGGCCACCAGUCUCUAUAGGGUCUCUGGUCCUGGCACACACGAGGUUGAUUUGAGCCCUCUGAGCAUCUCUGGCAAGUUUGGGGUUUGAUUCUAAGCAUGAACUCGCCUCUCCUACCGUCUUGCUGGGGCUUCUCAGCCCUUGGACUUGGGGUAUCUCCUCACAGCUGCUCCAGCGCCACGAAGCUGCUGCUCGAGCCUACUGUCUUGCUGGGGCUUCUCCGACCUUGAACAUGGGGUGAGUAUCUGUGUUUGAGUAUCUCCAGUGGAGGUAUGGGUCAGCAGUGGACUGCCGCAGGGGCAGGGGCUCUGGGUGCAGCAGACCUGGGUAUGGCAUAAGCCCUCUUGGAGGAGGUCGCCAUUAACCCCACCAUAGAGCUGCCAGGACUUACAAAGGCCUUCGAAAUAGACUCUUGGAGGGCACAAACAGAACCUCGUGCAUACCAGGACCCAGGAAAAAGGAGCAAUGACCCCACAAGAGACUGACCCAGACUUGCCUGUGAGUGUCCAGGAGUCUCCAUAGGAGAUGUGGGUCAGUGGUGGCCUGCUGCAGGGUUGGGGGCACUGAAUGUAACAGAACACACUGGGGGCCUUUUGAAGGAGGUCACCAUUAUCUUCACUGGAUUCCCUGGUGGCUCAGACGGUAAAGCGUCUGCCCGCAAUGUGGGAGACCCGGGUUCGAUUCCUGAGUUGGGAAGAUCCCUGGAGAAGGAAAUGGCAACCCACUCCAGUACUCUUGCCUAGAAAAUUCCAUGGAUGGAGGGGCCUGGUGGGCCUCCACCAUAGUUUGGCCCCAGGUAAAUAACAGGGAGGGAACACAGCUCCACCCAUCAACAGAAAAUUGGAUUAAAGAUUUACUGAGCAUGGCCCUGCCCAUCAGAACAAGACCCAGUUUCUCCCUCAUCAAUCUCUCCCAUUAGAAAGCUUGCAUAAGCCUCUUAUCCUUUUCUAUUUGAGUGCAGACAGACUGAAAACCACAAUCACAAAAAACUAACCAAUCUGAUCACAUGGAUCACAGCCUUGUCUACCUCAAAGAAACUAUGAGCCAUGCUGUGUAGGGCCACCCAAGACCGAUGGAUCAUGGUGGAGAGUUCUGACAAAACGUGGUCUACUGGAGAAGGGAAUGGCAAAACACUUCAGCAUUCUUGCCUUGAGAACCCCAUGAACAGUAUGAAAAGGCAAAACGAUAAGACACGGAAAGAUGAACUCCCCAGGCUGGUAGGUACCCAAUAUGCUACUGGAGAUCAGUGGAGAAAUAACUCCAAAAAGAAUGAAGGGAUGGAGCCAAAGCAAAAACAAUACCCAGUUGUGGAUGUGAUUGGUGAUGGAAGCAAGGUCUAAUGCUGUAAAGAGCAAUACUGCAUAGGAACCUGGAAUGUGAGGUCCAUGAAUCAAGGCAAAUUGGAAGUGGUCAAACAGGAGAUGGCAAGAGUUAAUGUCGACAUUUUAGCAAUCAGUGAAAUAAAAUGGACUGGAAUGGGUAAACUGAACUCAGAUGACCAUGAAUAUCUACUAUGGGCAAGAAUCCCUUAGAAGAAAUGGAGUAGCCCUCACAGUCAACCAAAGAGUCUGAAACGCAGUACUUGGAUGCAAUCUCAAAAAUGACAGAAUGAUCUCUGUUCAUUUCCAAGACACACCAUUCAAUAUCAUAGUAAUCCAAAUUUAUGCCCCGACCAGUAAUGCUGAAGAAGCUGACGCUGAACGGUUCUGUGAAGACCUACAAGACUUUCUAGAACUAACACCCCCAAAAGAUUGCCUUUUCAUUAUAGGAGACUGGAAUGCAAAAGUAAGAAGUCAAGAGAUACUCAAAAUUAACAGACAAGUUUGGCCUUGGAGUAUAGAAUGAAGCAGGGCAAAGGCUAUAGAGUUUUGCCAACUGAACGCACUGGUCAUAGCAAACACCCUCUUCCAACAACACAAGAGAAGACUCUACCCAUGGACAUCAACAGAUGGUCAAUACUGAAAUCAGACUGAUUAUAUUCUUUGCAGCCAAAGAUGGAAAAGCUGUAAACAGUCACCAAAAAGAAGACUGGGAGCUGACUGUAGCUCAGAUCAUGAACUUCUUAUUGCCAAAUUCAGACGUAAAUUGAAGAAAGUAGGGAAAACCACUAGAUCAUUCAGGUAUGACCUAAAUCAAAUCCCUUACAAUUAUACAGUGGAAGUGACAAACAGAUUCAAGGGAUUAGAUCUGAUAGAGUGCCUGAAGAACUGUGGAGGUUUGGGACAUCGUACAGGAGUCAGGGAUCAAGACCAUCUCCAAAAAAAAACAAAUGCAAAAAAGAAAAAUGGCUGUCCGAGGAGGCCUUACAAACAGCUAUGAAAAGAAGAGAAGCAAAAGGCAAAGGAGAAAAGGCGAGAUACACCCAUUUGAAUGCAGAGUUUCAAAGAACAGUAAGGAGAGAAAAAAGCAUUCCUCAGUGAUCAGUGCAAAGAAAUAGAGGAAAACAACAGAAUGGGAAAGACUAGAGAUCUCUUCAAGAAAAUCAGAGAUACCAAGGGAACAUUUCAUGCAAAGAUGGGCUUGAUAAAGGACAGAAAUGGUAUGGACCUAACAGAAGCAAUGAUAUUAAGAGAUGGCAAGAAAAGAUUGUCGCAACCCAGAUAAUCAUGAUGGUAUGAUCACUCACCUAGAGCCAGACGUCCUGGAAUGCAAAGUCAAGCAGGCCUUAGGAAGUGUCACUAUGAACAAAGCUAGUGGAGGUGAUGGGAUUCCAGUUGAGCUAUUUCAAAUCCUGGAAGAUGAUGCUGUGAAAGUGGUGCACUCAAUAUGCCCACAAAUUUGGAAAACUCAGCAGUGGCCACAGGACUGGAAAAGGUCAGUUUUCAUUCCAAUCCCAAAGAAAGGCAAUACCGAAGAAUGCUCAAACGACCGCAUAACUGCACUCAUCUCACAUGGCAAGGAAAGUAAUGCUCAAAAUUCUCCAAGCCAGUAUGUGAACCAUGAACUUCCAGACGUUGAAGCUAGUUUUAUAAAAGGAAGAAGAACCAGACAUCAAAUUGCCAACAUCCGCUGGACCAUCAAAUAAGCAAGAGAGUUCCAGAAAAACAUCUAUUUCUGCUUUAUUGACUAUGCCAAAGCCUUUGACUAUGUGGAUCACAAGAAACUGGAAAAUCCUUAGAGAUGGGAAUACCAGACACCUGGCCUGCCUCUUAAGAAAUCUGUAUGCAGGUCAGGAAGCAACAGUUAGAACCGGACAUGGAACAAGAAUGGUUCCAAAUAGGGAAAGGAAUAUGUCAAGGCUGUAUAUUGUCACCCUGAUUAACUUAUAUGCAGAGUACAUCAUGAGAAACACUGGGCUGGAGGAAGCUCAAACUGGAAUCAAGAUUGCUAGGAUAAAUAUCAAUAACCUGAGAUAUGCAGAUGACACCACCCUUAUGGCAGAAACUGAAAAAGAACUAAAGAGCCUCUUGAUGAAAGUGAAAGAAGAGUGAAAAAGUUGGCUUUAAGCUCAACAUUCAGAAAACGAAGAUCAUGGCAUCUGGUCCCAUCAUUUCAUACCAAACAGAUGGGAAAACAGUGGAAACAGUGACAGACUUUAUUUUCGGGGGCUCCAAAAUCACUGCAGAUGGUGACUGCAGCCAUGAAAAUAAGACACUUGCUCCUUGGAAGAAAAGUUAUGACCAACCUAGACAGCAUAUUAAAAAACAGAGACAUUUCUUUGCCAACAAAGGUCCGUCUAGUCAAAGCUAUGGUGUUUCCAGUAGUUAGGUAUGGAUGUGAGAGUUGGACUAUAAAGGAAGCUGAGCGCAGAAUUGAUGCUUUUGAACUGUAGUGUCAGAGAACUCUUGAGAGUCCCUUGGACUGCAAGGAGAUCCAACUAGUCCAUCCUAAAGGAAAUCAACCCUGAAUAUUCACUGGAAGGACUGAUGCUGAAGCUCAAACUCCAAUACUUUGCCCACCUGAUGCAAAGAAGUGACUCUUGGGAAAGUCCCUGAUGCUGGAAAAGAUUGAAAAGAUUGAGGAGAAGGAGACGACAGAGGAUGAGAUGGUUGGAUGGCAUCACGGACUCAACGGACAUGAGUCUGAGUAAACUCUGGGAGUUGGGGAUGGACAGGGAGGCCUGGCGUGCUGCAGUCCAUGGGGUCGCAGUCAGACAUGACUGAGUGACUGAACUGAAAACUGAAACAUGACCACCCGACCGUGAGAACCCUCCGAAUUCAAGAUCACAAGACCCCAGCUGUGAGCUUAACUAAGGACUCCUCCCUUCGAGGCAUAAUUUCCCAUCGAUAGGGUAUAAGAAAGGUUGGCUAUAAAGGGAGAGCACUGGUUUCUAAGGUAGAUCCGUUCCUCUCUUCCUACAAUGUAUCUUUCUCUGCCUGACUGCCACGGUCACCUUACCUACACAUAUAAUAGAAUACUAUUUAGCAACAAAGAGGAAUGAACUAGAUACUACAACAUAAAUUUUGAAAACAACACUGAGAAGUGUGAAAUAUUUCCUGCCGUAUCAGUAGGCAAGAAUGUCACUGCCAUCAGUGAUUUCAGGCUUCUAAACGUGAAUGAGAGCUCCCAAAAGGGAAAACAAUGCCUGUGAUCCAGUAGAUCCUGCUACCCCGCCCCACAGUGAUUGCUAAGGAGCCUGGGGUGGGGUGGGGGUGGAGUUGCUGGAUGUAAGCAAAAGUAGCAGUCUUCUGUUACCCCUUACAGUGAAAGAGGAAUUAAAAAUGUGAACACUCAAAAAGGAAGAUUGCAGGAUUUGGUCCCAGAUAGCAGAAGUGCAUAUGAAAGGAA
ensembl:lncRNA